rnacentral:rRNA from 1 species
GCUUACACAUGCAAGUCGAACGGAGUGUGCUUUUGAAAUUCCUUCGGGAACGGAUGUUGUACACUUAGUGGCGGACGGGUGAGUAACGCGUGAGCAACCUGCCUUUCAGAGGGGGAUAACACAACGAAAGCUGUGCUAAUACCGCAUGACAUUGCUUUAUCGCAUGGUGAGGCAAUCAAAGGAGCAAUCCGCUGAAAGAUGGGCUCGCGUCCGAUUAGAUAGUUGGCGGGGUAACGGCCCACCAAGUCGACGAUCGGUAGCCGGACUGAGAGGUUGGCCGGCCACAUUGGGACUGAGACACGGCCCAGACUCCUACGGGAGGCAGCAGUGGGGGAUAUUGCACAAUGGGCGAAAGCCUGAUGCAGCGACGCCGCGUGAGGGAAGAAGGUCUUCGGAUUGUAAACCUUUGUCCUAUGGGAAGAUAAUGACGGUACCAUGGGGGGAAGCCACGGCUAACUACGUGCCAGCAGCCGCGGUAAUACGUANGUGGC